AGCAGCCGCGGUAAUUCCAGCUCCAAUAGCGUAUAUUAAAGUUGUUGCAGUUAAAAAGCUCGUAGUUGAAUUUCGGGAUCAAUAUGUUGGUCGUGCCUUGGUACGUACUGGCAUUAUCGAUUCCUACCUUCUGAAGAACCUCGAUGUCAUUAAUUUGGUGUCUUGGGGAAUCAGGACUGUUACUUUGAAAAAUUGGAGUGUUUAAAGCAGGCUCGCGCUUGAAUACAUUAGCAUGGAAUAAUGAAAUAGGACGUUUGAUUCUAUUUUGUUGGUUUCUAGGAUCGACGUAAUGAUUAAUAGGGAUAGUUGGGGCA
rnacentral:rRNA from 1 species